GACGAACGCUGGCGGCGUGCCUAAUACAUGCCAGUUGAGCGCUGAAGGUUGGUACUUGUCCCAACUGGAUGAGCAGCGAACGGGUGAGUAACGCGUGGGGAAUCUGCCUUUGAGCGGGGGACAACAUUUGGAAACGAAUGCUAAUACCGCAUAAAAACUUUAAACACAAGUUUUAAGUUUGAAAGAUGCAAUUGCAUCACUCAAAGAUGAUCCCGCGUUGUAUUAGCUAGUUGGUGAGGUAAAGGCUCACCAAGGCGAUGAUACAUAGCCGACCUGAGAGGGUGAUCGGCCACAUUGGGACUGAGACACGGCCCAGACUCCUACGGGAGGCAGCAGUAGGGAAUCUUCGGCAAUGGACGAAAGUCUGACCGAGCAACGCCGCGUGAGUGAAGAAGGGUUUCGGAUCGUAAAACUCUGUUGGUAGAGAAGAACGUUGGUGAGAGUGGAAAGCUCAUCAAGUGACGGUAACUACCCAGAAAGGGACGGCUAACUACGUG
rnacentral:rRNA from 1 species